rnacentral:rRNA from 1 species
UGGGGAAUUUUGCACAAUGGGGGAAACCCUGAUGCAGCGACGCCGCGUGAUUUAGAAGGCCUUCGGGUUGUAAAAAUCUUUUCUAUGGGAAGAAAAUGACAGUACCAUAGGAAUAAGGACCGGCUAAUUACGUGCCAGCAGCCGCGGUAAUACGUAAGGUCCGAGCGUUGUCUGGAAUCAUUGGGCGUAAAGGCUACGUAGGCGGGUAAGCAAGUUAGAAGUGAAAUCCUAUAGCUCAACUAUAGUAAGCUUUUAAAACUGCUCAUCUUGAGGUAUGGAAGGGAAAGUGGAAUUCCUAGUGUAGCGGUGAAAUGCGCAGAUAUUAGGAGGAAUACCGGUGGCGAAGGCGACUUUCUGGCCAUAACCUGACGCUGAGGUACGAAAGCGUGGGUAGCAAACAGG